UAGGGAAUCUUCCGCAAUGGGCGAAAGCCUGACGGAGCAACGCCGCGUGAGUGAUGAAGGUCUUCGGAUCGUAAAACUCUGUUAUUAGGGAAGAACAAACGUGUAAGUAACUGUGCACGUCUUGACGGUACCUAAUCAGAAAGCCACGGCUAACUACGUGCCAGCAGCCGCGGUAAUACGUAGGUGGCAAGCGUUAUCCGGAAUUAUUGGGCGUAAAGCGCGCGUAGGCGGUUUUUUAAGUCUGAUGUGAAAGCCCACGGCUCAACCGUGGAGGGUCAUUGGAAACUGGAAAACUUGAGUGCAGAAGAGGAAAGUGGAAUUCCAUGUGUAGCGGUGAAAUGCGCAGAGAUAUGGAGGAACACCAGUGGCGAAGGCGACUUUCUGGUCUGUAACUGACGCUGAUGUGCGAAAGCGUGGGGAUCAAACAGGAUUAGAUACCCUGGUAGUCCACGCCGUAAACGAUGAGUGCUAAGUGUUAGGGGGUUUCCGCCCCUUAGUGCUGCAGCUAACGCAUUAAGCACUCCGCCUGGGGAGUACGACCGCAAGGUU
rnacentral:rRNA from 1 species